rnacentral:lncRNA from 1 species
GGGUCACACAACAAAGAGAUUAGAUCUGAAAUAAGCAAUUAAACUUAUGAAGUAUUAAUUAGAUUUAGAAAAAUCCUAUUAGGUUCAAAAUAACCUUGCUAGUACAUGGUUGGAUCUAAUUUUUUCUUUAUUUUUAAAUUUUUUAUUCGAUAAGAUUAAUUUAAACUAAAUUAUCUGCUAAUAAUCUAUAUAAAUUAGAUU